rnacentral:rRNA from 1 species
AUUGAACGCUGGCGGCAGGCUUAACACAUGCAAGUCGAACGAGUGGCGGACGGGUGAGUAAUGUCUGGGAAACCUCCUGAUGGUGGGGGAUAACUACUGGAACCGGUAGCUAAUACCGCAUACCAUCAGAUGUGCCCAGAUGGGAUUAGCUAGUGGGUGGGGUAAUGGCUCACCAAGGAGACGAUCCCUAGCUGGUCGGAGAGGAUGACCAGCCACACGGGAACUGAGACACGGACCAUACUCCUACGGGAGGCAGCAGUGGGAAAUAUGGCACAAUGGGCGCAAGCCUGAUGCAGCCAUGCCGCGUGUGUGAAGAAGGCCUUCGGGUUGUAAAGUACUUUCAGCGGGGAGGCGUUACCCGCAGAAGAAGCACCGGCUAACUCCGUGCCAGCAGCCGCGGUAAUUC